AAUAUCUUCCUUGGUGUUCAACAGAACAAAGAAAAUUAUACAGAUUUUGAACAACUUGAGGGUGAGUAAAUGAUGAUAGAAUUUUCAUUUUUGGGUGAACUAUCCCUUUAAGUGAUCAAAUAAUAGAUGAUUGAACAUUUGCUAAAAUCAAGCAGAGGAGGAUUAAACAAACAGCAUUACCAUCUUUACUUAUUACUAACCAGACUGACUUUAUUUCUGUCACACAUCUACAGAGGUUAUUAUUGAGAAUUAACAGAAGUUUAGAUGUUGAUGUUUGUUUCAUUUGAAGUCACCAUCAAGGUGGAGAGUGUUGCUAGUUGGGAUCUUGGUCCUCAUUCUUCUUCUGUUAGCUUUUAUUUGGCUGUUAUAACUGUGUUUGUAAAACACAUUUGUUGUGGCAAAAAAAAAAAAGCCUAGAUGAAGCAGGAUAAGUUGUUAUCAACUCCUUGUUAUAGAAAAAUGGUAAAAUGAGCAUCUAAUGGUAUGUUUUUAAUUAAACUGAUCUGAAGGUGGGUAAAAAGCAUGCACAAGAUUUGAUUGAGUAUAUCAUGAAGUCACACACAUAGACAUCAUUAUUUUGGAUAUGAUUCACAAUAAUGGUGACAAUCAAAACUAAAAAACUCAUCCUUGUUUUGAUUGUCACCAUUGUUGUGAAUCACAUGCAAAAUCUUGAUGUCUGUGUGUGACGACAUGAUUACUCCCGCUCAAAUAUCUUGUGCACAUGCUUUUUAUCUAGCUUCAGGAUAACUGAUAAUUUAAUGCUAUUGGUGCAAUAAUGCAGUUUCACAAGGUUGGUGGACGUAAAUGCCAAAUAUAAACAGAAAAUUAAAAACCGAAAAGUAGAUUUUUGCUCUGUGAUGAUUUUGUUAUCAACAAGAAGUUGAUUUGGCUUUAUCUGGACUUUCUUCGCCAAAACAAAUGAGUAUUGUCACAACACAUUGUGACAAAUGUGUCCCACAUCUACAGCAGCCAAUGAAAAGUUAACAGAUGAAGUACAAGGACCAAGAUCCCAACUAAAGCAAACACUCUCCACCACGAUGGUGACUUCAAAUGAAACAAACACCAACAAAUAAAUCUGUUAAUUCUCAAUAAUUUCUGUAUACGUGUGACAGUAAUAAAGUCAGUCUGGUUACUAAUAAGUGAAGCUGGUAAUGCUGUUUGUGGAGUUUAAUCAGAUUUUGAGAGGUUCAGCAUCUUUUACUUGCAGUUGAUUUUAUCAAAUGCUGAAUCAUCAGUUAAUUAUCUCAUAAACUUCAACAUUGUUUCAGUGUUUCUUUUAACAUUGUGUAGAUUGGACUUAUAUAAACACAGAUCAGUGUUCACUGAGGAUUUUACUGUGUAUGUUGUACAUUUGAGCAUCUAUCCAAACAGAGUUUUGUACCUGUAAAUGUUUUUUAUUUUAUUUUAUAUACAAACAUGAAAAAAGUCUGAAAUAUAUACACUGUAAUGAAUUGCUGUAAAAAUUACAGCAAUAUUUUACAGCCGAUGGCUGUAUUUUAAUAAUACAGCAUAUUGCUGUAAAUUGCAAUGAAUUCCGGGGGCGUGGCGGUUUGAAUCAAAUUUACAGAAUAUUGCUGUAAAUUUCAAAUAUACAGAGGCAUUGUGGGAUCUCCAACGGUCAAGAUUCGAGUAGCAGCAAGAGGAGUGAUUUACAACUGUGGUAUUUAUCUGGAGAGAGGAACAAAGACGAAAGGAAAAGUGCCAUCUAAAACAACAGGCAGACUGUUCAGAAGAAACGGGUUGCGUUCAACCUACAUGUGGACACUCUUCUGUGCAAAGUGAUAGAUUUUCAGUGGAAUUUCUGAAAUCCUAUCUUUGAAUCCUGGGAUGGAACAUCAUCUGGAGCAGAAUUGUUCUUUUUUGAUCGCAAGUUUGUUGGACUUGUUGUUUGGCCAUGUUGGUAUGUUCAUGAAGUGAUAAAAGUGAUGUGGGUUUUAAGAAAUGUUUUUAUAUGACCCUGUUGGUCAAGUUAUAGUUAUAAUUGUAUUUCUUUGUGUGAAGGGCCAUGAUGGCCAAUAAGUAAUUUAAAAACAUUUUCAUGACAAAAUUUUGUCCCUUUAAAAAAUAAAAUGAUUUUCUAAAUAAAAAAUAAAUUCAAAAUAA